rnacentral:rRNA from 1 species
UACAGAGGGUGCAAGCGUUAAUCGGAAUUACUGGGCGUAAAGCGCACGCAGGCGGUUGGUUAAGUCAGAUGUGAAAGCCCCGGGCUCAACCUCAGAAUUGCAUUCGAUACUGGGAAACUAGAGUUCGGUAGAGGGCGGCGGAAUUUCCGGUGUAGCGGUGAAAUGCGUAGAUAUCGGAAGGAACAUCAAUGGCGAAGGCAGCCGCCUGGGCCUAGACUGACACUGAGGCACGAAAGCGUGGGUAGCAAACAGG